UCCAAAUCCCAAUACUUUUUUUCUCCCAUAAUCCCUACAAUUCUGAAAUUUAAAUAUUAAAUCCUGCAUUUCAUAUCGUCAACUUCACAACAAAUUCCAGAUUCCUCUACCCGUUCAGAUCCAGCUACCCCUACCUCGAUCAUCCAGAACAGCAUCAACAGCACCAAGGACCCCUUCGACAUCGACCCCAUCAACCUCCAGAACACUGUCGACCCCAACGACCCCAUUGACCUCAACAAUCAGAAAUAUGGAUGUCGAAGUUGUACCACCACAAGCUAGACAAGAUUUUGAUUCCGACUAACCCAUUCUUUAAAGGUCCAUUGCCUUAGGAAAUUAAAACUUUUAUGUCUUGUAUCAAGACCCUUUUAAAACAACAUUUAUCAUAAAUAAAUGCCUCCUUAUAUUUAUUACAAUUUUUUGAAAACCUCUCCAAGUUGCUCGUCUAAUGGUGGAACCCGCCCCUUUCAAUUCUCAGAGUCCCUCGGAAUGAUUGACCAAAGGAUUGGUGAUGUUAUAUCAAGAACGAUCUCCGCUUAGGCAAGCUACGGUGCUUGCUAGCCAGCUCUGCAGGCAUUAUGUUUUGUACACAAACAUAAACAAUAACUUUUGUUAUUAAAUAGUGUGCUAUGCAUCUUAACUUGUUAUUUAUUGUGGUGAAACUUCACUAAUGGCCCAAUUUUAAAAAGAGAGCUAUACCAUGAGUCGAAGAAGGUCGUAAUUGAUUUGAAUGCCUGUAUAACGUGUCAACUAAAUGCAUGCUAUAAAGAAUUUCAAAGGUAAGAAAAAAAUGUUUCAUAUAUCUAAGUGACUGAAUGUUUUUCGUACUACCUUCUUCUCAAUUUAAAGAAAUAUUGAAAGUGGUAUAUCAGAGUGAAGAAACUUGUGUUUUUCCCUUUACAAGCUCUGCUCUUUCUUACUUCACUUUCAAAUUUCCUCUCUUGUUAUAUAAACAUUUAGCGAUUGCUUUACUUCACACAUUCAAGCAAUGUAUACUAUCCCUCC